UACGAAGGGGGCUAGCGUUGUUCGGAAUUACUGGGCGUAAAGCGCGUGUAGGCGGGUCUUUAAGUCAGGGGUGAAAUGCCAAGGGCUCAACCUUGGAACUGCCCUUUGAUACUGGAGUACCUUAGAGUCCGGGAGAGGUGAGUGGAAUUGCGAGUGUAGAGGUGAAAUUCGUAGAUAUUCGCAAGAACACCAGUGGCGAAGGGCGGCUCACCUGGCCCG
rnacentral:rRNA from 1 species